rnacentral:rRNA from 1 species
UACCGGCGGCUCGAGUGGUGGCCACUAUUAUUGGGCUUAAAGCGUUCGUAGCUGGGUUAUUAAGUCUCUUGGGAAAUCUACCGGCUUAACCGAUAGGCGUCCAAGGGAUACUGGUAAUCUAGGGACCGGGAGAGGUGAGGGGUACUUCAAGGGUAGGAGUGAAAUCCUGUAAUCCUUGGGGGACCACCUGUGGCGAAGGCGCCUCACCAGAACGGCUCCGACAGUGAGGGACGAAAGCUGGGGGAGCAAA